GGGUGGAUUGGCUCAGUGGUUAGAGCGUAGGUCUUGUAACCGAAAGGUUGCGGGAUCGAAUCCCGCUGAGGCUG
rnacentral:tRNA from 1 species